rnacentral:rRNA from 1 species
GAUGAACGCUGGCGGCGUGCCUAAUACAUGCAAGUCGAGCGAACAGAUGAGGAGCUUGCUUCUUUGACGUUAGCGGCGGACGGGUGAGUAACACGUGGAUAACCUACCUAUAAGACUGGGAUAACUUCGGGAAACCGGAGCUAAUACCGGAUAACAUUUUGAACCGCAUGGUUCAAAAGUGAAAGACGGCCUUGCUGUCACUUAUAGAUGGAUCCGCGCUGUAUUAGCUAGUUGGUAAGGUAACGGCUUACCAAGGCAACGAUGCAUAGCCGACCUGAGAGGGUGAUCGGCCACACUGGAACUGAGACACGGUCCAGACUCCUACGGGAGGCAGCAGUAGGGAAUCUUCCGCAAUGGGCGAAAGCCUGACGGAGCAACGCCGCGUGAGUGAUGAAGGUCUUCGGAUCGUAAAACUCUGUUAUUAGGGAAGAACAUAUGUGUAAGUAACUGUGCGCAUCUUGACGGUACCUAAUCAGAAAGCCACGGCUAACUACGUG